UUUAUGGAGAGUUUGAUCCUGGCUCAGGAUGAACGCUGGCGGCGUGCCUAAUACAUGCAAGUCGAGCGAACGGACGAGAAGCUUGCUUCUCUGAUGUUAGCGGCGGACGGGUGAGUAACACGUGGAUAACCUACCUAUAAGACUGGGAUAACUUCGGGAAACCGGAGCUAAUACCGGAUAAUAUUUUGAACCGCAUGGUUCAAAAGUGAAAGACGGUCUUGCUGUCACUUAUAGAUGGAUCCGCGCUGCAUUAGCUAGUUGGUAAGGUAACGGCUUACCAAGGCAACGAUGCAUAGCCGACCUGAGAGGGUGAUCGGCCACACUGGAACUGAGACACGGUCCAGACUCCUACGGGAGGCAGCAGUAGGGAAUCUUCCGCAAUGGGCGAAAGCCUGACGGAGCAACGCCGCGUGAGUGAUGAAGGUCUUCGGAUCGUAAAACUCUGUUAUUAGGGAAGAACAUAUGUGUAAGUAACUGUGCACAUCUUGACGGUACCUAAUCAGAAAGCCACGGCUAACUACGUGCCAGCAGCCGCGGUAAUACGUAGGUGGCAAGCGUUAUCCGGAAUUAUUGGGCGUAAAGCGCGCGUAGGCGGUUUUUUAAGUCUG
rnacentral:rRNA from 1 species